AUGGGGAGAGCCAUGGCCGUCGACGCUGCUGCUGCCGUUGACGACGGGAAGUCGUCGUGGCCGGAGGUUGUGGGCUGGGACGGCUUUACGGCGAUGAUCAAGAUCAAGGCUGACAGGCAGGACGUCACCAUAGAGUUCCACGCCGUCGGCGACAACGUGGCGCCGGACGAGGACGACCACCGCGUCCGCAUCUUCCUUGAGCACCACGUAGUCGCCCAGACUCCGGUCGUUGGCUAG
rnacentral:rRNA from 1 species